UAAAACCCAAAAACUCGAGUUGGUUCUAUAGCCAGCUGGGUCAGGCUCGACCUAUUCUUUGCUUGACUCGACCGGCUUGGCAUUCAAUAAUUAAAUGAAGUAUUCGGAGUUGUCAUAAAUAUUUAAAUGGUUUUGCUAAUGUCCCCACCUUCGUGUGAACAUUAACAACCUCCCCAAAGCUUUUAAAUGCCACGUGGGAUGCGUAAUCAUAAAUCAUGAUGGUUCAUUCAACAGUUCCAUUGGAACAACCAUGGAAUUUUGGAACGAUGAUGGCAACAGUUGGUAAAAUUGUCCAUUUGCAGACCAAUCAGACAGGUAAGAUUGUCUAAUGGAGGAGAUUGCCCAUCCAUGGUUGAGCCCACCAGAUGAAUAGCCUGGAGCACCAGAAAGUGGGUUAUGUGGUGGUAGUUGUGUGGUUGAACAAAAAAUAAAUGCUGUUUUGUUACUUUGAACAUCAUAUAAUCUGUUUACAUAAAAGGAGUUACUAGGUUUCUUCACAACUAUAGACAUAACAAAAGGGAUGCUUCUCAAGCCUAAACUGCACCAAUGAGGGAGGAUUCUUGUAAGCUAUUUUAGGAAGCAGUUGGGCUGAACUUCCUUGCUCUUCAAUGGUAUUACCACCAUUCUAUCAGCAGCAACAUUCAUUUCUUAAACUUGUUAAUUUUUUAUUCAUUUAUUUUUGUAUUUUUUUACCAGCCACUUCCCCCAGAUGAAGAAAAACAGCUGAAGGAUACAUUGCAGGAUAUUAUUGGACAUGGGAAGACGGUGAAGCUUGAACAGAAGAUUGAUCAAAGCAUUCAGGGGGGAUUGGUGAUUGAGUUUGGGCAAAAGCUCUUUGAUAUGUCGAUCAGGACGAGCAAAGCAGAUGGAGAAGUUCCUGAGGGACCCUGUCAACUUCGAGAGCUUCUAGAAGCUUCUGGCCAUGUUUGCAUCAGCCUGUUGAAAGACCCUGCUCUCAUAAUUUCCUUUUACUUUAAUUGCCAUUGAUGUUGGACUGGGUUUUUUCCUUAACGGGUGGGUCUUUUCCCUUUCCUUUUUUGUGGGGGUGGUGUGGGUCUCCAUCCACCUCUAAAAUAAAAGCUAGAAAUGCCAGGAGGGACACUCCUUACUUUUAUCUUUUCUUGAAGUCUGUUUUUUUUUUUU